UUCCGGUUGAUCCUGCCAGACCUGACUGCUAUCGGAUUGAUACUAAGCCAUGCGAGUCUUUGCAGUAAUGCAAGGCAUACGGCUCAGUAACACGUAGUCAACUUACCCUAUGGACGAGGAUAAUCUCGGGAAACUGAGCAUAAUACUCGAUAGAUCAUAAUGCCUGGAAUGGUUUAUGGUUGAAAUGAUUCGUCGCCAUAGGAUGGGACUGCGGCCUAUCAGCUUGUUGGUGAGGUAAUGGCCCACCAAGGCGAUUACAGGUACGGGCUCUGAGAGGAGAAGCCCGGAGAUGGGUACUGAGACAAGGACCCAGGCCCUAUGGGGCGCAGCAGGCGAGAAAACUUUGCAAUGUGCGAAAGCACGACAAGGUUAAUCCGAGUGAUUUCUGCUAAAGAAAUCUUUUGCAAGUCAUAAAACCACUAGUGAAUAAGGGGUGGGCAAGUUCUGGUGUCAGCCGCCGCGGUAAAACCAGCACCUCAAGUGGUCAGGAGGAUUAUUGGGCCUAAAGCAUCCGUAGCCGGCUCUGUAAGUUUUCGGUUAAAUCCAUGUGCUCAACACAUGGGCUGCCGAAAAUACUGCAUAGCUAGGGAGUGGGAGAGGUAGACGGUACUCGGUAGGAAGGGGUAAAAUCCUUUGAUCUAUCGAUGACCACCUGUGGCGAAGGCGGUCUACCAGAACACGUUCGACGGUGAGGGAUGAAAGCUGGGGGAGCAAACCGGAUUAGAUACCCGGGUAGUCCCAGCUGUAAACGAUGCAGACUCGAUGAUGCAUUGGCAUAUAGCCAGUGCAGUGUCGCAGGGAAGCCGUUAAGUCUGCCGCCUGGGAAGUACGUACGCAAGUAUGAAACUUAAAGGAAUUGGCGGGGGAGCACCACAAGGGGUGAAGCCUGCGGUUCAAUUGGAGUCAACA
rnacentral:rRNA from 1 species